UGAAAAAGACUUUCUCCUGAGGGUUACCACUUUUUCCUGCUUUUGGCUGGAAAUCCUUGCCCCCAACAUUUCUCAAUUGAAAAGACUAUUGAAGAAGAAACCUGAGAAAGACAAUUUGAAUCUCUGUCAGACUUUACCUCAGCUCCUAUUGCCCCGAGUCUGAACUGUGGCCAAAGGGCCAAACUAGGAUUUUCACUUCAGAGUCAUUGGGAUUCAAUGAAAGCUGAAGUUUUUAAUUUAUCUUCAUGAAUUGACAUUUGAAGGCAGCUUAUGGCAGAACAAUUUGGGCAUUCUAAACACUUGGAUUCCUGUGAUAAUGUAAAAAUUUUAAAGACGACACUUUUCCAUCUGAGUCAAACAUAAGAUGAAGAAAUGGAAGUUAAGAGAAGUAAAAUGACUUGCCUAGAGCCAUCCAACUGGUUACAUUCUACAGCAAGAUCACAAGCUCCUUACAAAAGUGUAUUUACCAAGGUCAUGAAUGUAAUAAGCAUGACAGGCUAUGAAGACUCUAGGUUAACCGAACUUAUGAGAUCUCCAUGAAAAAGUGUGUAAAAAAAAGAAGAGGAAAUCCAGAUCAGAGCCAUGAUGUACACUCACACAGAAUGUUCAAAAGAAGACUGUGAAAGAGUGAUAAGGUAGGAGAAAAAAGAGAAAACAGUUCCAAGAAAAUUCAGUGAUGAAAGGAGACAG
rnacentral:lncRNA from 1 species